CAACAUUUAGAGAUGCAUGCCACAGCGGAAGAUGGAAGAAAGAUUCUGAAAUAUUCUCAAAAUUAAGGAAAAUAUUGUCUUUAUUUGGUCGAAUUUCCAAAUAUCCAAUUAUUUGGUAUUUGGUGUUUAUUCAAAACGACCCUACCUUGUAUUUGCGGUACGAAAUAAAAGAAGAAAACGCAAGUCUAACAAGAAUUUUUUUAAAAAAAAUGCAAAAAUGUAAAUGACAAUAUUGCCAUUUGACUGAAAGGAUGUUAAACAAAUGUAGAUUUAUGGGUGACCACAUUCACAGUCAUUGAUGAGUCACACACAGAUGCAAAGUUUAACGAACAAUGUCGCACUCUGAACUACAAAGUCAAUCCCCAUUAUAUUCGAAUCAUAGCCACCUUUGGAGAGGGAUUUUUUUUUUCUUUCCUCUUUAUCCUGUACAUCAGUGUUUUUGUCUGAGCGCCUGACAAAACCAAAGGGUGGAGGGUAAGACUCGAAUUUCAUCGUAAUGGGUUCAUGUAUGUCUAGGGUUACAGAGAUUGAAAACACGACAGACCAGACUCUGGAACUGAGAGAAUGUCCGGAGGGGGAUCCAGAAGGGAAAGGAAGUGAACCAAUUCUGCUUCAUCCGCACAAGUCCAAGUGGAUCUCUGCAACUAAAUUUUGUCAACACAGCCACGAUGCCGCUAGACCACGGCACUUAAUUCUGGUUUCCUCCAACGGGGGUGGAGGGAAUCCUGAGACCUUCGCCACAACUGAUUUCAUCACCUUCGAAAAGUUCGUUAUCUUUCCGAGGGAAAACGGGAACAUCGGGGUCCAGACAUCCCGUGCUAAAGGGACCGGAUUCCGAAGAAUCAAGUUGGUCAAAUGCUUAACCAGUUUCAUUCAGCUCCGAUGAGCAAGCAGAUACGAGAACCUUGCAGUUUUUUGAAACACAUUUGACGUUGAAAUCCUCUCACUCUUUGCAACCUUUAUCCGGAUAUUGACUGCCUAAAUUCUUGGUGAGUGUGCUGCAUUUGCUACUACCAUUGCCAUUGCAACUGCUAUUUCUUUGAGAAUUUUGUUGUGCUCCUCAAUUAAAUUUGGUUUUAUUUGAUUUCUUGUAAUUCUUUGGCAUUUUGGAUUUUCUUCACUGAAUCCGAUUGUAUGCAAUUUUGAAAUGGGAAGAUGAAGAUGUCGAGAAUUGAAAGAAGAAGAAAGCAUAUGGAGACUGGAAGAUGCUAUUGUCAAGAGGAACUUUUGUAAAUCUGUAAAAUAUGUAGAUACUCAUAGUUGUACAAAGAAUUAUUGUAACAAAAUUUAUUUGUUUUUGGUAUUUGAGUUUUUUUUAAAUUUUUAAAUUUUUUAUUAUAAAAGUUUGCAUUUUUAGCCACAGUUAUUUGUGUCCAUAUUGAAUAAAAUAUAUUAUUUUAAUAUUCUCCAAGAGUUGAUAAAGAGGUAGAGUAUAGGUGGGGCACAGCUACCAUCUUAGUCAUUUAUCAAAAGAGUUUUUCUAUUUAAAUCUCAUACUUCUCUUUGUUCACUCCAUAUUCUAAGUUCACCCUGACUUCUAAUUCAAAUUUUCUCAAUUCUAAGAAAACCCCACUAUUUUCCCAAACUACCCCUAAAUACACACCCAACAGAAGAAAAAAAAUUAAAAAAAACUCAUCAACUUUACACCCCACACCCCACACAUCGCUAUCUUAUUCCUCACCACUCUAAGUGCAUCCCAACCUCAGAAUUACAGCAAAUAUUUAAUCACAACAUCCUCAAUAAUUCUGGGAGGAGUCCCAAACCAAGAAAUAAACUCACAUUACAUACCUCAAUUGAUGACCCACAAGCCACUAUUUGCAUACCGUGCUUCGGGUUUAUGAAGAGAAGAUGAGAGUGUAGUAGGUUUCUUGGAUUGAAAGAGAAGAGUAAUAUAGCAAUAGGGUGUAGAUGAGUUUGUGUUUUUCUAAAACUUAAUAUGAAGAGUGGUGGGGUGUGUGGGUGUAUAGAUGUACUAGGGUUAAGUAUUAAGUCAGAUGAUAUUUUUUGUCUUUUUACACAACAAUAAAACUUAAGAGCUUAAUGAUUUAAGUAUUGAGGUAAACAAAGAAAAGUGUGGGGUUUAAAUAGAAAAACUCUAUCACAAUAUAAGCACAAAUGCUUCAUUUGUGCUUUAAUUGUCUGACACGAACUGAUGAAUUUGUGCUCUAUAAGCAAUGUAAACUCCUAUACUAGAGACCAACAACUUCAUAGUGGCUGCACCGUAAGUAUUUUCAUAGAGCACAAUUAUUCAUGUUCUUUGACAUAAAGAGCACAAAUGGAAUUCGUGCUUUUACCGCAGUUUUCUAGUAGUGUAGGUAAGCUAAAUACAAAAUAUCCUAUGGUUUUACCUAUGCUAAUUCGUAGAUAUACUAAUUUACAAAAUAUCAUACUAAUUUACCUACAUAUAUGUACUUGUACAUAUUAAUUUAUCAGCACUUAAACAGAUUAUUAAUUUACCUAUACUAAUUCAUAAGUAUACUAAUUUAUAAAUAUCAUACUAAAUUUACCUAUAUU